rnacentral:rRNA from 1 species
UACGUAGGGUGCGAGCGUUGUCCGGAAUUAUUGGGCGUAAAGAGCUCGUAGGCGGUGUGUCACGUCGUUCGUGAAAACCUGCGGCUCAACCGUGUGGUCUGCAGUCGAUACGGGCAGGCUAGAGUUCGGUAGGGGAGACUGGAAUUCCUGGUGUAGCGGUGAAAUGCGCAGAUAUCAGGAGGAACACCGGUGGCGAAGGCGGGUCUCUGGGCCGAUACUGACGCUGAGGAGCGAAAGCGUGGGGAGCGAACAGG